GAUCCUGAGGAGGAAGAAUUGGCUCCAGUUCUUUCAUCAUCACAUAUCCCUGACAAUAGGGUCCAGGGGCACAGAGAGGAGCUGAGCCAGACAAAGGAUCCAGGUGCAGAGGCAGCUUCACUCCCACAGGUGGGUGUGCUUGUUGACAGCCCCUCCAGUCUGCCAGAGGCCUUGCUGGAACCAACCCACAUCCUUCCACCCUCCCAGGAACACAAGGUAGUGAUGGAUCUAUGUUAAUCAGGUGAUAGAAUGGUACAGGGUAGGGAACAUGGGGAUGUGUAAGUGUCCCCCAAAUCCAAGUUUUAGGAAAAUGACAGGAUUCCAGUUUGGAGCAGGUGAUUUGCAGUUAAGCAGCUUUAUUAGGGAUGUAUAUAGAUGCUUUUUAUGACGAGCUCUUAUUCUCUGUUCAGCAGGAUCUCUCCCACUGGGAUAAGGUCAAGGUUCUGCUCAAUCGGAUCCGUUGGAGGAGCCCUCGACUUCCUGAGCCUCCUGUUCCCCCUGAUAGUUCUGGACCCAGGAUGGAGUUCAGGAAUCUCUCUGAAAGGACUCCAGGCCAUUCCCAACGGAAGAUCUUUAUUCCAACAUUGGUCGUUAAGAAGCCACGAGCAAAAAAUCUUUCUGUAUGACCUCUUGGCACCUGAGUGGAGAGGAUUUGCCAAGAAGUCCCUCACAUUUUGGCUUACUGCUGCUUCUCUGCACUGCCAGGAGAAGCGAUUGGUGCUUUCUCCUCUUCACGGUGAAGGCCAAGUCCUUCUCUAAGCAUCGAGGCAAAGAGCCCUGGUUUCCCAAGAGGCACUCAAGUGCAGUUUCAGCACUCUUCCCGGGCUCUUCCUCUUUGUCAUAAAGCUCUGGGCUUAAGCAAAGUGAACUGACUUAUUUAUCAGGUACUCACAGAGUAUGUUAGUAUGGGAAUGUGUCUGCAUGUUGCAGAUGUAUGUCUAUGCUAUCUUUGUUGGACUUUUGACUGCCUGAAUCCAAUCAUCUGAUGGAAUAAUUUGUCCAAAGGGUUGGUGUUUUGGGUGUCACUGGAAGGAUGGCACUGAUCUUCAUUCCACAAUGAACAGUUACUGAUGUGGAUUUCUUCCUCAUACCGGAGACAGCAGCCCUAGGACCAAGAACAACACUGCCUUGGGUACCUUUGUCAUAAGUCAUGGCUCUGGAGCACAGCCCUUGAAGACUGAAUGAGGAAUUGGGGGGGGGGGCAGAGAUCAUGACCAUUGUGAGGAACAACAUAUAAUUUGCAAGGUCAACUCUAAGAUGCUGUGUUGUAUCCUGGAGUUUAGACCAUAGCAAAGUCUCUUAAUUUCUGAGCCACAGCUUCCUACUUGGGAUGAUGCCUGCCUUACCUACCUCAUAAGCUUGUUAGGAGAUAAAGUAACAUUAAACCUUC
rnacentral:lncRNA from 1 species